CGAAGAAGAGGAAACUGGAUAUCUGGGCCCGGUUUCCCCAACGCAUCUUAAGGCAUCCUAUGGUUUUGAGAAACCGGGCCGUGAUAAACAGAGGCACAAACUCUGCAGUUGUUGAACUGAUGUGUGGUGUUAAAGGGGAAAUAUGAGAGAGACGUGACUAUCAUGGAUCCUCUGGGGAGCCUCAACAACAUCAUGAAGCUGACGAGGCAGAGAAGAGUCCCUCCCGAUCAGAACACCUCAAGAAACACCAGUGGAGACCAACAGGGAAGAAAUCUCACUGCUGCUCUGACUGUGGGAAGAGUUACUUAAGAUCAAAUUCACUAAAAGUACACAUGAGAAUUCACACUGGAGAGAAAUCUUACAGCUGUGAUCAAUGUGGAAAGAGUUUUACUACAUCUAGCCAUCGGAUUGUACACCAGAGAACACACACAGGAGACAAAUAUUAUAGCUGUGAUCAAUGUGGGAAGAGUUUUACUCAGUCAAGCAGCCUGUUAUCUCACCAGAGAACACACACAGGAGAUAAACCUUACAGCUGUUAUCAAUGUGGGAAGAGUUUUACUCAGUCAAGCAGCCUGUUAUCUCACCAGAGAACACACACAGGAGAGAAACCUUAUAGCUGUGAACAAUGUGGGAAGAAUUUUACUACAUCUAGUCAUCUGAUUAUACACCAGAGAACACACACAGGAGAGAAACCUCAUAGCUGUGAUCAAUGUGACAAGAGAUACUCUGAUAAAAGAUC